rnacentral:rRNA from 1 species
CCUACGGGCGGCAGCAGUGGGGAAUAGUGCGCAAUGGGCGAAAGCCUGACGCAGCGACGCCGCGUGAGGGAUGAAGGUCUUCGGAUCGUAAACCUCUGUCAGCAGGGAAGAACGGUCACUGAGCUAAGCAGCAGUGAAUUGACGGUACCAGCAAAGGAAGCACCGGCUAACACCGUGCCAGCAGCCGCGGUAAUACGGAGGGUGCGCGCGUUAAUCGGAAUGACUGGGCGUAACGCGCGCGUAGGCGGUAUGUCAAGUCAAGGGUGAAAUCCCCGCGCUCAACGUGGGAACUGCCUUUGAAACUGGCACACUGGCGUGUGUGCUAGUAUAGUGGAAUUCCAGGUGUAGCCG